GGUUGAUUUCUCAAUUUGGUGCGGUUAUUAGGGUUUGAUUUUACAAAUUUCAUCAGUCAGACAACUUAAGUUAUAGGAACAUCUUCAUCAGACAAGUAUGAUAUGAGGAGAGGUCGGUUUGCAAAGAACGGACUGAUUCAGUACCAGAUUGUAUGCCAACAAGUUAAUGUUGGUUCUCUGGAAGAGGUGAUCAAACCAUUUUUGCAUCUUUCAACUGAGAAAGUUGAGAAUGCAAAGACCCAGGCAGAGGCUUUAGAAGAAGCUCUAGACAUUGAUGACUUGGAAGCGGAUAAGAGGCCUGAAGACUUGAUGCUGAGCUAUAUUGGUGGAGAGAAGGG